GACGAACGCUGGCGGCGUGCUUAACACAUGCAAGUCGAACGGUGAAGCGCCUUCUUUUUUGGUGGGUGGGGAGGAGUGGCGAACGGGUGAGUAACACGCAAGUAACCUGCCCCUUUCUGCUGGUUAACCGCAUGAAAGUGUGGCCAAUACGGGAUAUUCUGGGUCUGUCGCAUGAUUGGUCUGUGUAAGAUAUUGUUUCGGUGGGGGAGGGGCUCGCGGCGUAUCAGCUUGUUGGUGGGGUGAUGGCCUACCAAGGCGGUGACGGGUAGCCGGCCUGAGAGGGUGGACGGUCGCACUGGGAGUGAGACACGGCCCAGACUGCUACGGGCGGCAGCAGUGGGGGGUAGUGCGCAAUGGGCGAGAGCCUGAUGCAGCGGCGCCGCGGGAGGAAUGGAGCCCUUCGGGUUAUGAACCCCUUUCGCCAGUGAAGCAGGCCUGCCUCGUUUGUGGGUGGGUUGACGGUAGCUGGAAAAGAAGCGCCGGCUAACUACGUG
rnacentral:rRNA from 1 species